GAGAGGAGGACAGAGGACAGUGGACACACACUUUAACAUGAUGGACUAUAGGACAGGACUGCUGCUUCUAACUGUCUGCUGGGCAGGUGUUGAUGCUCAGACUCUGACUGAAUCUGGACCAGUGGUUAAAAGUCCUGGAGGAUCCCACACACUGACCUGUACACAUUCAGGGUUCAGUGGUACUCCUCAUAUGGCCUGGAUCAGGCAGGCUCCUGGAAAAGGAAUGGAGUGGGUUGCCUGGAUUCACAGCAAUGGUGGCAGCACCUACUACUCUGAGUCAGUGAAAGGCCGGUUCACCAUCUCCAGAGACGACAGCAGACAGCAGGUGUAUCUGCAGAUGAACAGUCUGAAGACUGAGGACUCUGCAGUGUAUUACUGUGCCAGAGAGACACAGUGAGAGACAAUAACAGGA